GGCUACGUUAAGUCAGGCGGGCCCGACCGCUCAUAACGGUCUGGUUGCAGGUUCGAGUCCUGCCGGGCCCACCA
rnacentral:tRNA from 1 species